rnacentral:lncRNA from 1 species
UAUGGUUUGGAUUUAAGGUUUAUGAUUUGGGUUUACGGUAUAUGGUUUGGGUUUAAGUUCUAGAAUUUGAGUAUAGAGUUUAGAAUCUUGAAUUUAUGAUUUAAAAUUUAGGGUUUAGAGUUUAGCUGGCGGCAUAAACAUCGUUAAAAUUGACGUCAUUUUUUUUUUUUCAACUAUUUUUCUCUAAUUUAAUAUUUUUUUAUUUAAUAAUCUAAAUGACACUUUGAUUGGUAUUAGAAAGUGAGAUAAAUUUAAAGGUUCAAUUUUGUUCGGUUACUAAAAAGUAAAAAUAGAACAAAAAAC